rnacentral:rRNA from 1 species
UACGAAGGGGGCUAGCGUUGUUCGGUAAUCACUGGGCGUAAAAGCGCACGUAGGCGGGUCUUUAAGUCAGGGGUGAAAUCCUGGAGCUCAACUCCAGAACAUGCCUUUGAUAACUGACGGUCUUGAGUACGGGAGAGGUGAGUGGAACUGCGAGUGUAGAGGUGAAAUUCGUAGAUAUUCGCAAGAACACCAGUGGCGAAGGCGGAGCUCGACUGGCCCGUAACGUGAACGCUGAGGCA